GGCGACGUGGCCAAGUGGUAAGGCAGAGGUCUGCAAAACCUUUAUCACCGGUUCGAAUCCGGUCGUCGCCUCAA
rnacentral:tRNA from 1 species